UCUCGUCAAUUGUUUCGCAGUUCCUGGGAAGUGAAUGUAUCCUUGGGUCGAAUGAGUCUCCAAAUCAAAAUUCUUAUUGUUUCUCGAGUCUGGUGCAGUUUUCACUGGGAAUUACAAGUGUUGGAAAACACCCGAAUAUUAUUUAAAUUAUUGGCAAGUGCACGAACCUAUCCAGCUCGCUCUGUCGUGUUGUUGCUGUUUUGUUACAGAGAGGUAUCGAAAUUUAAUUCUCCUUUAUUUUUCAUUGGCGAAAUAAUUAUACAGUUGCUUCAUCAUCAGUUAUAUAAAAAAUUCGACAUCAAUCGCCAUAAGAGUUUCGUCCUGUCUUUCACUGCAGCUUUCACUGCAAGAGCUAGAUGGACGAAACAGCAAACACCGCUGUUUCGACCCAUCAGAUCUCAUCAGUGUUAUUAGGAUAAAAUACUUAACUGAUAUCUCCCCCUACGGAACUGAUAUUAUAUCUGAUAUUAUGUCUGAUAUUCUGUCAUCUUCGUGGGGAAGAUUGUUAAUUAUCGCUGUUACUUUCAGACUUGUCUUCUUCAGGACAGUUCAGUGAUUCAGCCUAGCACAACUGAUGAGACCUGCUGGGUCGAAACAACGCUGUCUGGUAUUGGAUUACAAGUCCAUACUCAAUUAUUUGUAUUUUUUCAACAUAUUUGAAACGAUCAUCGAUAUGUUUUCAGUAAAGCAAGUGGAAUUCUCAAAAAUAUAGUCAAUUAACAUGAA